ACUCCAAUAGCGUAUAUUAAAGUUGUUGCGGUUAAAAAGCUCGUAGUUGGAUCUGUGUCCCGCGCCGCCGGUUCGCCGCCUGUCGGUGUUAAACUGGUGUGUCUGCGGGACGUCCUGUCGGUGGCGGUCCGGAGCCUCGUCGACCGGUAAGGGAGUCCAGGCCAGCCUGCGUCACCCUGAAGGCCGUCGUACGCUACCGGCCGCCUUAUCAAUCCCGCCGCGGUGCUCUUCGCCGAGCGUCGAGGCGGGCCGGCACGUUUACUUUGAACAAAUUAGAGUGCUUUAAGCAGGCGGACGCCUGCGCCUUGUGUGCAUGGAAUAAUAGAAUAGGACCUCGUUUCUAUUUCGUUGGUUUACGGAAUCUGAGGUAAUGAUCAAUGGGGACGGGCGGGGGCAUUCGUAUUGCGACGUUAGAGGUGAAAUUCUUGGAUCGUCGCAAGACGUACCUAAGCGAAAGCAUUUGCCAAGUACGUUCCCGUCGAUCAAGAACGAAAGUUAGAGGUUCGAAGGCGAUCAGAUACCGCCCUAGUUCUAACCAUAAACCAUGCCUGCCAGCGAUCCGCCGGCGUUCCUCCGAUGACCCGGCGGGCAGCUUCCGGGAAACCAGAGCUUUUGGGUUCCGGGGGAAGUAUGGUUGCAAAGCUGAAACUUAAAGGAAUUGACGGAAGGGCACCACCAGGAGUGGAGCCUGCGGCUUAAUUUGACUCAACACGGGAAAACUCACCAGGCCCGGACACCGGAAGGAUUGACAGAUUGAGAGCUCUUUCUUGAUUCGGUGGGUGGUGGUGCAUGGCCGUUCUUAGUUGGUGGAGCGAUUUGUCUGGUUAAUUCCGAUAACGAACGAGACUCUAUCCUAUUAAAUAGACGCAUCCGGUAUCCGCAAUCGUGCUACCGGCGAAUAAAUUUCUUCUUAGAGGUACGGGCGGCUGCUAGCCGCACGAUACUGGGCAAUAACAGGUCUGUGAUGCCCUUAGAUGUCCUGGGCCGCACGCGCGCUACACUGAAGGAAUCAGCGUGUCUUCCCUGUCCGUGAGGACCGGGUAACCCGCUGAACCUCCUUCGUGAUAGGGAUUGGGGCUUGAAACUGUUCCCCAUGAACGAGGAAUUCCCAGUAAGCGCGAGUCAUAAGCUCGCGUUGAUUACGUCCCUGCCCUUUGUACACACCGCCCGUCGCUACUACCGAUUGAAUGAUUUAGUGAGGUCUUCGGACUGGCGCGCGGAGUCGGCUUCGUCGCCUCCGAUGUCGUCGGAAAGAUGACCAAACUUGAUCAUUUAGAGGAAGUAAAAGUCGUAACAAGGUUUCCGAGGAAA
rnacentral:rRNA from 1 species